UCCAGCUUAUCGCUGGCGGUCUCCGGCAUGACCCGAUGGCAACUACAGGCAAGGGUUGCGCUCGUUGCGGGACUUAACCCAACAUCUCACGACACGAGCUGACGACAGCCAUGCAGCACCUGUGUUACGGCUCCCUUUCGGGCACACCCCCAUCUCUGGAGGCUUCCGUACAUGUCAAGGGUAGGUAAGGUUAUUCGCGUUGCAUCGAAUUAAUCCACAUCAUCCACCGCUUGUGCGGGUCCCCGUCAAUUCCUUUGAGUUUUAAUCUUGCGACCGUACUCCCCAGGCGGUCAACUUCACGCGUUAGCUGCGGUACUGAGAAAUCGCUUCCCCAACACCUAGUUGACAUCGUUUAGGGCGUGGACUAC
rnacentral:misc_RNA from 1 species